AAAGGGAGAGAAAAGAAAAGUAAAAUAGAAGAGAAAGUGAAUUUCUAGUGUUUGGUUUGAAAGAAAACAAAAAAGAAAAUGAAAAUAAUUUUCGCUGAAGAAAAAUCCAUACAUAUCUUUUCUGUCCCCCUUUCUCUCCGCUGCCCAGGUGAAAACGAGGGAGAGAGACGGAAUCGAUGCCUCCGACUUUCCCGAUCUCUCACCUCCCUCUCUCUCCAAAACUCCGAUCAAUCUCCCAUCUCUCUCUCCCCCCUCAUUCUCUUUCUCUCUCUUCCCAAAUCUAGGGCUACAAAGCUAGGGUUUCUCCAUUCGAGCUCUCGUCAGCUUGAGAUACGAGGGUGAGCUUCGGAUCUCGUCAACUUGAGAUCCGAGGGUGAGCUUUUGAAGCGACAACGCCAAAGAACCCAACUGAUUGCCGAUCUUCGCUGCUCGCUUUCUUGCUGAUCUUGAUGGAGCCGUCGCCGGCAGCGAAGCUCGCCGCUCAGAGCAGCAAGCCUCGUCUGUUUACUGGGAGCUCGUCUUAUCUGGACGAGGAUCUCGAUAUAAUUGAGCUAUCGGGCCCGUCUUCUUCUUCUUGGAAUACAAAUAAUCAGAAGAGAAAGAGAAUCCAGGUUGAGAAAAUUCCAUUUUUAAUGCUUUCAUAUGUGACCAACUGUAUUUGGAUUGUUUGUUCAAUUUUAUUUAUGCAGAAAGAUUAUAGUUCUACUGCUAAUUGUUAAUUUGGAUAAUCAGUGGCGAAGCCAGGAUUUUAUAAUCAGUCCUUGAAUCCUAAUUUGCAAUGUGCAGUCAGGGAUUUCAUCUUCAUAACUCAUAACGUGUGUUAUUAUAGAUUUAUAGGUAUGAAUUCUGUAAUCAAUCAAUGUAAGCAGUGUGUGACAAUUUUGUAACGUUCUGUUAAUAUCACUUACUUCUAAUCCUUAACCUUUGCAUGCUUUUAUCAAAAUAGAUUGUGAGUGAUUUUGGUUCGAUGGGUGAACUUGGAUGGUCGUCGCCUUCUUAUUAAAUAUGGAUUUGGAGUAUUUAGUUGGUUGCCAGGCUGAAGGUGGAAAUGCUGCUUGAAAACGAUUGAUGAGUGAAAAAUAUUGUAGAGGCUUGUAUAGAAAAUCAUUUCAUAAGGGAGAUAUUGGAGGAAGACGGUUGAUUAGUAUGGCUUUUGAUGCAUACAUCCAAAUGUGACAGUUUAUCAGUGAAGUUGCUAUUAAACUGAUUGUUAUUGUUAUGUGCACUUAAAAAAGACGUUAUCACAUGUCUUCGUCCCUA